rnacentral:rRNA from 1 species
GACGAACGCUGGCGGCGUGCUUAACACAUGCCAGUCGAACGAAGCUUGAUUACGGUUUCUUCUGUUGUAGUAUGAUCUGACUGAUUGGUGGCCCGGUGAGUAACGCGUUAGUAACCUGCCCUUCCUAGGGGGAUAGCGUUUUGAUACGAACGGUAAUACUGAAUAAUGUAUUUUGACCGCAUGAUCGAAUUUUCCACGAUUUUUCGCUGAAGGAUGGACUCGCGUCGGAUUAGGUAGUUGGUGCGGUAACGGCCUACCAAGCCGCCGAUCAGUAGCCGGACAGAGGAGUUGAUCGGCCACAUUGGGAGUGAGACACGGCCCAGACACCUACGGGAAUCGGCAGAAGGGAGAAGGAGACAAGGAGCGCAAGCCAGGUGCAGCAACGCCGCGUGAAAGAAGACGAUUUUCGGAUUGUAAACUUCUGUGCUUAGUGAAGAAUAAUGACGGUAGCUAAGGAGCAAGCCACGGCUAACUACGUG